rnacentral:rRNA from 1 species
UACGUAGGAGGCGAGCGUUGUCCGGAUUUACUGGGCGUAAAGCGCGCGCAGGCGGCACUGUAAGUAAGGUGUGAAAUCUCCCUGCUCAACGGGGAGGGUGCAUUUUAGACUGCAGAGCUAGAGGACGGUAGAGGGGGGUGGAAUUGCUGGUGUAGCGGUGAAAUGCGUAGAGAUCAGCAGGAACACCCGUGGCGAAGGCGGCCCCCUGGGCCGAACCUGACGCUGAGGCGCGAAAGCGUGGGGAGCAAACAGG